UUCAGUUCGGGAGUCAUUUCAGGAAUCAAGAAUCUGCAAUCCAUUCAGUGGAUGCAAAAGAUCUUAUCCACAACAUUGAAGAAAAGCAGGGCAGUUAUUCCUGGUGACCUGGCCAAUAUUUAUCCUUCUGUUCAUAAUGGUAAAACAGAUAAUCUGGUGGACAUAAAGGUACUUUGAAGAGGAACGGUGGAGUUACCACAGGCAUCCAAGGAAAUAUUCACUCUAUAAAUAACAUCACAAAGAAAGAUUACCAGGU